rnacentral:rRNA from 1 species
GAUGAACGCUGGCGGCGUGCCUAAUACAUGCAAGUCGAGCGAACGGACGAGAAGCUUGCUUCUCUGAUGUUAGCGGCGGACGGGUGAGUAACACGUGGAUAACCUACCUAUAAGACUGGGAUAACUUCGGGAAACCGGAGCUAAUACCGGAUAAUAUUUUGAACCGCAUGGUUCAAAAGUAAAAGACGGUCUUGCUGUCACUUAUAGAUGGAUCCGCGCUGCAUUAGCUAGUUGGUAAGGUAACGGCUUACCAAGGCAACGAUGCAUAGCCGACCUGAGAGGGUGAUCGGCCACACUGGAACUGAGACACGGUCCAGACUACUACGGGAGGCAGCAGUAGGGAAUCUUCCGCAAUGGGCGAAAGCCUGACGGAGCAACGCCGCGUGAGUGAUGAAGGUCUUCGGAUCGUAAAACUCUGUUAUUAGGGAAGAACAGAUGUGUAAGUAACUGUGCACAUCUUGACGGUACCUAAUCAGAAAGCCACGGCUAACUACGUG